AUUUUAAAGCGCGUGACAAAGUAAUUAAUAAUGUAUGGUGGGUCCCAUUAAAAUAUAAUAUCAUUGACAAAAACGAAAAUGGGACAAUCAAACUAAUUUGGCUGAAUAAUACUAAAAUGAAUCAAACUUUUCAGGAUACGGAUUUAAAAAAAAGUUUUCCUUGUUUAGAACCUGUAAUUUUCAAUAUCAACCAAACAGGAUAUUAUCGAGUUAACUAUAAUGAUGAUAAUUGGAAACAAAUCACACGUUAUCUUCGUUUGAAUCACUCAAGAAUAUACAAAUAUAACAGGGCCCAAUUGAUAGAUGACUCAUUUAGCUUGGCUAUGGAAGGGUUCCUUAGUUACUUAAUUCCCUUCAAAAUAACUACAUACUUACCAAAUGAGGAUGAACCAUUAAUAUGGAUUACUUUUUUCAAAAAGUUGUUAGAAAUCACAAAAAUAAUAUUUAGAAUUGAAAAUAAUGAAAAAAUAAAGGUUUAUUUACGGAAUAUAACUCAAAAAUUGUUUGAAAAAUAUCAAAAGAAAGAUCCAAA
rnacentral:lncRNA from 1 species